rnacentral:rRNA from 1 species
UACGAAGGGGGCUAGCGUUGUUCGGAAUUACUGGGCGUAAAGGGCUCGUAGGCGGCCAACUAAGUCCGACGUGAAAUCCCCAAGCUUAACUUGGGAACUGCGUCGGAUACUGGAUGGCUUGAAUUCGGGAGAGGGAUGCAGAAUUCCAGGUGUAGCGGUGAAAUGCGUAGAUAUCUGGAGGAAUACCGGUGGCGAAGGCGGCAUCCUGGACCGACAUUGACGCUGAUGAGCGAAAGCUAGGGGAGCAAACGGG